GACAGGGCCUCCACUGAGGUCCGAACAAACCUGAUUUAUUGUGUAAAUUCUGAUUUGCCAGUAUGUAAUUUGUUGUGAGUUCAUGCAUUCUGUUGGUUUUGUUCUUUGAACAGGUGAUGUUCAUGCACGGCUCAUUUUGUGCCCCAGUA